UUGGAGAAGAGAAAGAGAAGAAAUCCCAUUCUCCAGGCAAAAGGCCAAAAGGACAAUUACUGGGUGAUAUUUCUGUAAGUCACAAGGAAAACAGGAUAAAAUGAAGUUGAUGAAAAUUCCUCGUUUCCCCACCAAGUGCCCUUACCUGCAUGCUCGUGAUUCCCACAGCUCUUGCCCAGGAGAUCCUAUGUUCACCCAGCCUCUUGUGUUGAGGGUAUUGUCUUGGUACAUAGAAACAGGUAUUUGAACCACCUCUGCUAAAGCCAAUCUCACUUCCCAGCUUUGUGCUUGCAUCAGUUUUAUGGAGCAUCUGAGGCUGGGUGCCUUGAGUGGCUUCUGCAGAUUGAAUUUACUGAAAGUGCCUCACGUUGUACCCCGGCUCAAGCACCCCGUCUACGGUCCUCGGAGAGGCUGCCUGCUGGAGAAGAGAGGUCUGGAAAUACAAGUGAAUUAAACAAAGAAAGAGCAGUGGGAAAACAGAAGAACAUGAAAGUUGUGACAGAGUCUUCAGCUUUCAGAGGGCUCCUAUUUACUCCUUUAUAUGCUUUACUGGAAAGAUGAGUAGCUGGCGGUUUCCAGAGAGAGUCAGCAGGCUGUGGGAAAUAGUAAAGGUUUGAAGUAUAAGCCAAAGGGCUGAUAAACAGCCUGUGUGAUUGACAGCUCUGCCUGCACGGGACCUACAGUGCAGAACCCUCUUGUUCUUCGUUGGAAAGGAUCAAAUCCUGACCCACUGUUUCUAAGAUAUUUUCCUGAAGUCUGUGAGGAAAGAAAGGACAAAGAGCUAUUUGGGGAAAAAAAUGGUCUGGAAAAGAAGGGUAAGCCCUUUCCUCAGAGUCUUCUCCCACUGCGGCUGACAGAAGCACAUUUUCAGAAUGAAUAGACAGGAUUCAUUGCACCAUGUCAUCAUAAAGAAAACAUUAAACUGACCAUAGAAACUGCACUCUGAAAUUGCCUAUUUCUCAUCAGCGAUUAUAAAAGGCAGUGUCCAGUUACUAGCACUAACUCACACCUCUUUGCCGUAGACAUCUCAUAUUAGACGGUGAGAAUCUCCCCUUGCUAUGGACAAUGUUGCCUGGUGACGGCUAUCCGAGUGAGGACUGUUGCUAUGUUUUAGCCCUUAUCCUAAG